CCGGUUGAUCCUGCCAGAGGUUACUGCUAUCGAGGUUCGACUAAGCCAUGCGAGUCGAAUGUAGCAAUACAUGGCGAACUGCUCAGUAACACGUGGACAACCUGCCCUUAGGUUGGGUAUAAACCCGGGAAACUGGGUAUAAUACCCGAUAGGUCUCGAUUGCUGGAAUGCAUCGAGAUUUAAAGCUCCGGCGCCUAAGGAUGGGUCUGCGGCCUAUCAGGUAGUAGUGGGUGUAGCGUACCUACUAGCCUACGACGGGUACGGGUUGUGAGAGCAAGAGCCCGGAGAUGGAUUCUGAGACACGAAUCCAGGCCCUACGGGGUGCAGCAGGCGCGAAAACUUUACAAUGCUGGCAACAGCGAUAAGGGAACCUCGAGUGCCAGGUUACAAAUCUGGCUGUCGAGAUGCCUAAAAAGCAUUUCAUAGCAAGGGCCGGGCAAGACCGGUGCCAGCCGCCGCGGUAACACCGGCGGCUCGAGUGGUAACCGUUAUUAUUGGGUCUAAAGGGUCUGUAGCCGGCCGGAUAAGUCUCUUGAGAAAUCUGGCAGCUUAACUGUCAGGCUUUCAGGAGAUACUGUCUGGCUCGAGGCCGGGAGAGGUGAGAGGUACUUCAGGGGUAGGGGUGAAAUCUUGUAAUCCUUGAAGGACCACCAGUGGCGAAGGCGUCUCACCAGAACGGACCUGACGGCAAGGGACGAAAGCUAGGGGCACGAACCGGAUUAGAUACCCGGGUAGUCCUAGCCGUAAACGAUACUCGCUAGGUGUCGGCCACGGUGCGACCGUUGUCGGUGCCGUAGGGAAGCCGUGAAGCGAGCCACCUGGGAAGUACGGCCGCAAGGCUGAAACUUAAAGGAAUUGGCGGGGGAGCACUACAACGGGUGGAGCCUGCGGUUUAAUUGGAUUCAACGCCGGAA
rnacentral:rRNA from 1 species